rnacentral:lncRNA from 1 species
AGCAGAGCAGACCUGGGCUCCAAGAGAGCAAGGCAGGGGAGGAGGAGAAGCACACAGAGGAAAGCUUUUUUGCCAAGUCAGGAUGCACAGCCCUGGAGGAGGUUCCAUGAAGUCGCUGCCUUACUCCCAGAGUUUCCUGUAACUUCACCUUUUCCCCUGUGAUGUGUUCUGAAGGAUCAAGGACCAGGAGACGGGAGUGCUAAGUAG